rnacentral:rRNA from 1 species
UACGUAGGGUGCAAGCGUUGUCCGGAAUUAUUGGGCGUAAAGAGCUCGUAGGCGGUUUGUCGCGUCUGCUGUGAAAACUCGGGGCUUAACCCCGGGCCUGCAGUGGGUACGGGCAGACUAGAGUGCGGUAGGGGAGACUGGAAUUCCUGGUGUAGCGGUGAAAUGCGCAGAUAUCAGGAGGAACACCGGUGGCGAAGGCAGCCCCCUGGGUCAAGAUUGACGCUCAUGCACGAAAGCGUGGGGAGCAAACAGG